UACUCCUACGGGAGGCAGCAGUGGGGAAUAUUGCGCAAUGGGGGGAACCCUGACGCAGCCAUGCCGCGUGAAUGAAGAAGGCCUUCGGGUUGUAAAGUUCUUUCGGUAUUGAGGGAGGUUGAUGUGUUAAUAGCACAUCAAAUUGACGUUAAAUACAGAAGAAGCACCGGCUAACUCCGUGCCAGCAGCCGCGGUAAUACGGAGGGUGCGAGCGUUAAUCGGAAUAACUGGGCGUAAAGGGCACGCAGGCGGUUAUUUAAGUGAGGUGUGAAAGCCCUGGGCUUAACCUAGGAAUUGCAUUUCAGACUGGGUAACUAGAGUACUUUAGGGAGGGGUAGAAUUCCACGUGUAGCGGUGAAAUGCGUAGAGAUGUGGAGGAAUACCGAAGGCGAAGGCAGCCCCUUGGGAAUGUACUGACGCUCAUGUGCGAAAGCGUGGGGAGCAAACAGGAUUAGAUACCCUGGUAGUCCACGCUGUAAACGCUGUCGAUUUGGGGGUUGGGGUUUAACUCUGGCGCCCGUAGCUAACGUGAUAAAUCGACCGCCUGGGGAGUACGGCCGCAAGGUUAAAACUCAAAUGAAUUGACGGA
rnacentral:rRNA from 1 species